GGUGACGUGUCCGAGUGGUCAUGGAGGUAGGUUGUCGCCCUACUGGGUUACACCGUAGCGGGUUCGAUUCCCGCCGUCAUCA
rfam:Phialocephala scopiformis strain CBS 120377 unplaced genomic scaffold LY89scaffold_3, whole genome shotgun sequence.